rnacentral:lncRNA from 1 species
GGGGUAAUGGGGGUAAUGGGGUAAUAGGGGUAAUGGGGUAAUGGGGGUAAUGGGGGUAAUGGGGUAAUAGGGGUAAUGGGGUAAUGGGGGUAAUGAGGGUAAUGGGGGUAAUGGGGUAAUGGGGUAAUGGGGUAAUGGGGUAAUGGGGUAAUGGGUCCCUGUACGUCCCACUAUGGGGUUUUAGGUCCCGCUAUGGGGCUGUAUGUCCCUCUAUGGGGUUUUAGGUCCCGCUAUGGGGUUUUAGGUCCCGCUAUGGGUCCGUGUGCCCCAUAGAUCCCUGUUACCCGCAGGCUGUUGGAGGGCGUGUUCCGCUAUGGGGCUGUAUGUCCCGCUAUGGGGCUGUAUGUCCCGCUAUGGGGUUUUAGGUCCCACUAUGGGGUUUUAGGUCCCGCUAUGGGGCUGUAUGUCCCUCUAUGGGGUUUUAGGUCCCUCUAUGGGUCUGUAUGUCCCGCUAUGGGGUUUUAGGUCCCCCUAUGGGGCUGUAUAUCCCUCUAUGGGGUUUUAGGUCCCACUAUGGGGUUUUAGGUCCCGCUAUGGGUCCGUGUGCCCCACAGAUCCCUAUGUGCCCCCCAGGCUGUUGGAGGGCGUGUUCCGCUAUGGGUCUGUAUGUCCCACUAUGGGGUUUUAGGUCCCACUAUGGGUCUGUGUGUCUCACUAUGGGGUUUUAGGUCCCACUAUGGGGUUUUAGGUCCCACUAUGGGGCUGCACAUCCCUCUAAUGGGGUUUUAGCGUCCGCUACUGGGGUUUUAGCGUCGCGCGUUAUGGGGCUGUACUCCCUCUAU